rnacentral:lncRNA from 1 species
AUGACUUUCUGGUCUCCCUGGCUCAGAUUUCUGAGAGCUUUAAAAAAUUGUGCCAAACAAGGAAGUACCAUUGCUUAAUUAGGUCUUGCCAAUUAUUUUGCCUGAUUUUACUUUUUUUCUACCUCCCUGCUCCAUUCCAGUGACAUAGUAGGCUUCCCUCGACUUUCUACAUCAGCACACUGUAUCAGGUAGUGGACUUCCUGGACAAGCUCUAUACCACCUUUGGGAAAAAUUAUAGACCAUUAUGAUGUCUACAACAUGGAGACGAUGGGAAAUGCUUGUGACUAUUGAUGUAUGGGGUGCAGUCUAGUAACACAUAGAAGGACUGAGACCAAUAGCCAUGUUGAAGAGGAGACGAUGGUUCUCCCAUCACCUUCAUUACUCCACCUGCUGCUCAUGAAGGUUGCUGCGGGAUGUGCUGAUUAACUUGUGUUUUGGUCGAAAUCUGAAGUGAUGCUGAAUCUUCGUCCUUUAAUGUUGUCUGUUUUAUUGUUGAACAAUUUUAUCAUGCAUCGUGUGAACUUUUAUGCUUAUGGUGUGUAUCAUCACAGCACUGGACAAUAAUGACUCACACAGUAGAAUAACAUAACUGUAUACUUGCAUCAAGGGUAGUUAAAACAUGGUAAGGUUUUCUCAUGUCUUUAUUAAUAAUGAUUAAAAAAUUAAUUAUUCACCUCUGA